UUCGGUGACAACGGCAAGGAGGUCCCACCCGAUCCCAUCCCGAACUCGGAAGUUAAGCUCCUUUGCGCCGAUGAUACUGCGGUGGAGACGCCGUGGGAAAGUAGGUCGUCGCCGGAU
rnacentral:rRNA from 1 species